GCGUCGGUAGUGUAGCGGUUGGGCACGCGCUCCCGGAUAGGGUUAAAUGUGGGAUCGAAUCCCAACUGACGCA